rnacentral:rRNA from 1 species
AUACGUAGGGUGCGAGCGUUGUCCGGAAUUACUGGGCGUAAAGAGCUCGUAGGUGGUUUGUCGCGUCGUCUGUGAAAUUCCGGGGCUUAACUCCGGGCGUGCAGGCGAUACGGGCAUAACUUGAGUACUGUAGGGGAGACUGGAAUUCCUGGUGUAGCGGUGAAAUGCGCAGAUAUCAGGAGGAACACCGGUGGCGAAGGCGGGUCUCUGGGCAGUAACUGACGCUGAGGAGCGAAAGCAUGGGUAGCGAACAGGAUUAGAUACCCUGGUAGCCCAUGCCGUAACCGGUGGGCGCUAGGUGUAGGGGUCUUCCACGACUUCUGUGCCGUAGCUAACGCAUUAAGCGCCCCGCCUGGGGAGUACGGCCGCAAGGCUAAAACUCAAAUGAAUUGACGGGG